rnacentral:rRNA from 1 species
GACGAACGCUGGCGGCGUGCUUAACACAUGCAAGUCGAGCGGUAAGGCCCUUUCGGGGGGUACACGAGCGGCGAACGGGUGAGUAACACGUGGGUGACCUGCCCUCAGCUCUGGGAUAAGCCUGGGAAACCGGGUCUAAUACUGGAUAUGACUCCAUGACGCAUGUUGUGGGGUGGAAAGCCUUGUGCGGCUGAGGAUGGGCCCGCGGCCUAUCAGCUUGUUGGUGGGGUGAGGCCUACCAAGGCGACGACGGGUAGCCGGCCUGAGAGGGCGACCGGCCACACUGGGACUGAGACACGGCCCAGACUCCUACGGGAGGCAGCAGUGGGGAAUCUUGCGCAAUGGGCGAAAGCCUGACGCAGCGACGCCGCGUGA